rnacentral:rRNA from 1 species
GACGUAGGGGGCCAGCGUUGUUCGGAAUUACUGGGUGUAAAGGGUUCGUAGGCGGUGUAGCAAGUCGGGAGUGAAAUCUCUGGGCUUAACCCAGAGGCUGCUUCCGAAACUGCUGUGCUUGAGUGUGGGAGAGGCGCGUGGAAUUGCAGGUGUAGCGGUGAAAUGCGUAGAUAUCUGGAGGAACACCGGUGGCGAAGGCGGCAUCCUGGACCGGCAUUGACGCUAAAGCGCGAAAGCCAGGGGAGCAAACGGG